rnacentral:rRNA from 1 species
UACGUAGGGGGCAAGCGUUGUCCGGAUUUAUUGGGCGUAAAGAGCGUGUAGGCGGCCAUACAGGUCAGCUGUGAAAACUCGAGGCUCAACCUCGAGACGUCGGUUGAAACCGUAUGGCUAGAGUCCGGAAGAGGAGAGUGGAAUUCCCGGUGUAGCGGUGAAAUGCGCAGAUAUCGGGAAGAACACCCGUGGCGAAGGCGGCUCUCUGGGCUAGCACUGACGCUCAGGCACGAAAGCGUGGGGAGCAAACAGG